GCCUGGCUGGCUCAAUUGGAAGAGCUUGUGACUCUUGAUCUCAGAGUCAUGAGUUCGAGCCCCACGUUGGGUG
rnacentral:tRNA from 1 species